GAUCAAGAGACCGACGACGAGUUGACAACAAUACUUGAAGAUCCAAAGCAUUACGGAUUAUCGGCUUUCGUAUUACCAGAAGGAUGCUAUUUAACCAGUAGGUAUUAUUACAAAUAUUUUUCGGUCGUAAGCAUGCCUGCAGCUAGAGUUCUGGCUAUUCUUGAGGCCAACUCUUCCCCUGUAUUGAACUGUAAAUGAAUCAAUAGUUUAUGAAUACUUUCUGCCACCCUUAGUUAUAAAAUAAAGUUUGGCUUAGUCGGUAAGUAUCCUCCGAUUUCCCGUAUCAUUAGAGUUCAAAUCUCAAUUUAAAAAAGUGACAAAAAAGUUCAUCAUAAACAUAAACAAAUUGACAAAGUGCGUGUAGAACCCCACAAAUGUUUUGGUUCACGAUCAAUUUUUUUUAGCAAGUCGAUAAAGUAGGAGAUUUUGGUCUCGAAAUUUUGAUAAAAAUCUGUAUCAACAUUUCACGAUGCUACUUAAUGAGCGUUAAAUUUCUUUAUGAAUCGAUGACGAUCGCUAUCGAUUUGUUAUAUGAGCGUCUUUAAAG